rnacentral:rRNA from 1 species
UACAGAGGGGGCAAGCGUUGUUCGGAAUUACUGGGCGUAAAGGGCGCGUAGGCGGCCUGCUAAGUCGAACGUGAAAUCCCCGAGCUCAACUCGGGAACUGCGUCCGAUACUGGCAGGCUUGAAUCCGAGAGAGGGAUGCGGAAUUCCAGGUGUAGCGGUGAAAUGCGUAGAUAUCUGGAGGAACACCGGUGGCGAAGGCGGCAUCCUGGACCGGCAUUGACGCUGAGGCGCGAAAGCCAGGGGAGCAAACGGG